UGGGAUUACAGGUGUGAGCCACCACAUCCAGCUUGUAACAUUUUUGAAAUGACAACAUUUUAGAACUGAAGGACAGAUUAGCGGUUGCCAGGGGGUUAAGGAUGAGGGCUGGGAGUGCAGUCUGUGGGAGAGAGGUAUGGUGGCUCAUGGCUGUAAUCCCAGAACUUUGGGAUUACAGGUGGGUGGAUCACCUGAGGUCAGGAGUUCGAGACC
rnacentral:lncRNA from 1 species